AGAGUUUGAUCAUGGCUCAGAUUGAACGCUGGCGGCAUGCUUUACACAUGCAAGUCGAACGGUAACAGGUCUUCGGAUGCUGACGAGUGGCGAACGGGUGAGUAAUGCAUCGGAACGUGCCCAGUCGUGGGGGAUAACGCAGCGAAAGCUGUGCUAAUACCGCAUACGAUCUAUGGAUGAAAGCGGGGGAUCGCAAGACCUCGCGCGAUUGGAGCGGCCGAUGUCAGAUUAGCUAGUUGGUGGGGUAAAGGCCCACCAAGGCGACGAUCUGUAGCUGGUCUGAGAGGACGACCAGCCACACUGGGACUGAGACACGGCCCAGACUCCUACGGGAGGCAGCAGUGGGGAAUUUUGGACAAUGGGCGCAAGCCUGAUCCAGCAAUGCCGCGUGCAGGAAGAAGGCCUUCGGGUUGUAAACUGCUUUUGUACGGAACGAAAAGGUCUGGGUUAAUACCCUGGGCUCAUGACGGUACCGUAAGAAUAAG
rnacentral:rRNA from 1 species